GGCCCUACGGGGCGCAGCAGGCGCGAAAACUUUACAAUGCGGGGAACCGCGAUAAGGGGACACCGAGUGCCAGCAUCCUAUGUUGGCUGUCCAUAUGUCUAAAUCGCAUAUGUUAGCAAGGGCCGGGCAAGACCGGUGCCAGCCGCCGCGGUAAUACCGGCGGCUCGAGUGGUGGCCGCUAUUACUGGGCUUAAAGGGUCCGUAGCUUGAUAACUGGGUCCCUUGAGAAAUCCGCCAGCUUAAUUGGCGGGCGUUCAGGGGAAACUUGUUUUCUAGGGACCGGGAGAGGUGAGGGGUACUGCCGGGGUAGGAGUGAAAUCCUGUAAUCCCGGUGGGACCACCUAUGGCGAAGGCAUCUCACCAGAACGGGUCCGACAGUGAGGGACGAAAGCUAGGGGCACGAACCGGAUUAGAUACCCGGGUAGUCCUAGCCGUAAACGAUACUCGCUAGGUGUCGGCCACGGUGCGACCGUUGUCGGUGCCGUAGGGAAGCCGUGAAGCGAGCCACCUGGGAAGUACGGCCGCAAGGCUGAAACUUAAAGGAAUUGGCGGGGGAGCACCACAACGGGUGGAGCUUGCGGUUUAAUUGGAUUCAACGCCGGAAAUCUUA
rnacentral:rRNA from 1 species